GUCAAGCUACAAAGGGCACAGGGUGAAUGCCUUGGCACUGGGAGCCGACGAAAGACGUGAUAAGCUGCGAAAAGCCACGGGGAGCUGCAAAUAAGCCUUGAUCCGUGGAUAUCUGAAUGGAGCAAUCCGGCGGAUGUAACGAUCCGUCAUGGCAUACUGAAUCCAUAGGUAUGUCAGGGGAACCGCCUGAACUGAAACAUCUAAGUAGGGCGAGGAAGAGAAAUCAACCGAGAUUCCGUAAGUAGUGGCGAGCGAAAGCGGAAGAGGCCAAACCGCAUGCAGCAAUGUGUGCGGGGUUGCGGACUGCAUAAGGUAUGUUGAAGUCUAGCUGAACUGUAUGGGAAGGCAGACCGGAGAGCGUGAGAGUCGCGUAAGCGAAAGACAGAGACAGCCGGCAGGAUCCAGAGUACCGCGGGACACGUGAAACCCCGUGGGAAGCCGGGGGGACCACCCUCCAAGCCUAAAUACUCCCCAGUGACCGAUAGAGAAUAGUACUGUGAAGGAAAGGUGAAAAGCACCCCGGGAGGGGAGUGAAAUAGCACCUGAAACCCUGCGCCUACAAGCACAUAGAGCACGUCAAAGUGUGAUAUGGUACCUUUUGUAGAAUGGUCCGGCGAGCGUAUGUAUGCAGCAAGGUUAAGCGCUUAAGGCGUGGAGCCGAAGGGAAACCGAGUCUGAAUAGGGCGUGAAGUUGCAUGCAUAGGGCCCGAAACCGGGUGACCUAUCCAUGUCCAGGUUGAAGUGGGAGUAAAAUCCCAUGGAGGACCGAACCGACCUCCGUUGAAAAGGCGGCGGAUGAGGUGUGGAUAGCGGAGAAAUUCCAAUCGAACCCGGAGAUAGCUGGUUCUCCCCGAAAUAGCUUUAGGGCUAGCGUUGUAUUAGAUUACCGGAGGUAAAGCACUGAAUGGGCUAGGGGCCGAGAGGUUACUGAACCCUAUCAAACUCUGAAUGCCGGAUAAUUGAUGUACAGCAGUCAGACUACGUGAGAUAAGUCUCGUGGUCGAGAGGGAAAAAGCCCAGACCCACAGCUAAGGUCCCAAAUACACGUUAAGUGGAAAAGGAUGUGGAGUUGCACAGACAACCAGGAUGUUGGCUUAGAAGCAGCCACUCAUUAAAAGAGUGCGUAAUAGCUCACUGGUCGAGUGACUCUGCGCCGAAAAUUCAACGGGGCUAAACGUGUAACCGAAGCUUGGGAUUUCAUUCACUGAACAAUGCUUUUUGUCAGGCAGGAGGGAAAGAUUUGCUGCCGAAGGCAGCUAAAUUCCCAAAAGCAAACGAGAGAGAAAGUAUUGGUCAGUGAAUGAAAUGGUAGGGGAGCGUCGUAUACGGGGUGAAGUAUGAGCGAAAGCGCAUGUGGACUGUAUACGAGUGAGAAUGCCGGAAUGAGUAGCGAGAAAUAUGUGAGAAUCAUAUUGGCCGAAAGUCUAAGGUUUCCGGAGGAAGGUUCGUCCGCUCCGGGUAAGCCGGGAGCUAAGGUGAGGCCGGAAGGCGUAGCCGAUGCACAUACGGUAGAGAUUCCGUAGCUGCCGGAGGAUUUAAGCAGAGGGACACUGUCAAAGGGUAUGACCCGGGCGUUGGUAGCCCCGGGCGAAAGGGACUGAAAUAUAGUAGGGAAGCAUACUUGGCGGCAGGCGAGAAAAGCUCUGUGAAUAUCUGAGGCACCCGUACCGCAAACCGACACAGGUAGACAGGAAGAGAAUUCUAAGGCCAACGGGAGAAGGGUUGUUAAGGAACUCGGCAAGUUGACCCCGUAACUUAGGGAAAAGGGGUGCUCCUGAAAGGGAGCCGCAGAGAAUAGGUCCAGGCGACUGUUUAGCAAAAACACAGCUCUAUGCUAAAUCGAAAGAUGACGUAUAUGGGGUGACACCUGCCCGGUGCCGGAAGGUUAAGAGGAGGAGUGAGAGCUCUGAAUUGAAGCCCCGGUAAACGGCGGCCGUAACUAUAACGGUCCUAAGGUAGCGAAAUUCCUUGUCAGGUAAGUUCUGACCCGCACGAAUGGUGUAACGAUCUGGACACUGUCUCAACAGCCCGCCCGGCGAAAUUGUAGUACCGGUGAAGAUGCCGGUUACCCGCGACAAGACGGAAAGACCCCAUGGAGCUUUACUGCAGCUUAAUAUUGGAUUUCGGUAUUUCAUGUACAGGAUAGGUGGGAGGCAGAGAAGGCAGCACGCCAGUGUUGCUGGAGCCGACGUUGGGAUACCACUCUUGAGGUGCUGAAAUUCUAACCUGCGGCCGUGAAUCCGGUCGGGGGACAGUGUUAGGCGGGCAGUUUGACUGGGGCGGUCGCCUCCAAAAAGGUAACGGAGGCGCUCAAAGGUUGGCUCAGCAUGGACGGAAACCAUGCCAAAGAGUGUAAACGCAAAAGCCAGCCUAACUGCGAGAGCGACAGUUCGAGCAGUAACGAAAGUUGGAGUUAGUGAUCCGGUGGUAUGUGAGUGGAAAUGCCAUCGCUCAACGGAUAAAAGCUACCCUGGGGAUAACAGGCUGAUCUCCCCCAAGAGUCCACAUCGUCGGGGAGGUUUGGCACCUCGAUGUCGGCUCAUCGCAUCCUGGGGCUGAAUUCGGUCCCAAGGGUUUGGCUGUUCGCCAAUUAAAGCGGUACGCGAGCUGGGUUCAGAACGUCGUGAGACAGUUCGGUCCCUAUCUGUCGUGGGCGCAGGAUAUUUGAGAGGAGCUGUCCCUAGUACGAGAGGACCGGGAUGGACGUACCUCUGGUGCACCAGUUGUCGUGCCAACGGCACAGCUGGGCAGCUAAGUACGGAUCGGAUAAACGCUGAAGGCAUCUAAGCGUGAAGCCGACCUCAAGAUAAGAUAUGCCACUGAGUAAUCAGGUAAGACCCCUUGAAGACUACAAGGUUGAUAGGCCGCAUGUGGAAGCGUCGUGAGGCGUGCAGCAAGGCGGUACUAAUCGGUCGAGGGCUUGAC
rnacentral:rRNA from 1 species